rnacentral:lncRNA from 1 species
GACUCUGCGGGCUCUCCCGCUGAACAGGAGCGAGAGCGCGAAAGAGGGGGAAACGGGAAAAAAAUCCCCCCGCCCGUGCCUGGCGCGGCGGCGGCCGGGGCGGUGCGGAGAGGAGCGCGGAGGCGCCGCCGCCGCCGCCACGGGGCACCAUCCCCGGCUCGGCCUCACGGUGGCGGUGCGGGCGCGGCGGGGACACCGAGCAAGAGACCGGGUCUGCGCCCGCCGCGAUCCCUGCGCACCACGGCCCUGCCCGCCACGGGGCGAGCCCGAUAAGAGGGCUGUGGACGUUCGGGUCUAGUUGGGAGAGACAGGGGUCCCUGACUCUUGAGCGGUCAGUCAUUUCCUCCCCAGUCCUUGUGGGUGACGUGGCUACGGUUUGGAGCAGCAAGCCCCCUCCCCGAACUAAAGGGCCUCUCCAAAGGUUAAGCCAGGGCAGUCAUUGAGGUCAAAACCAAUAUGUAGUUUCUUGACUGCAGGUGCCUGCACGACUCCCAGAAAGUCGCGUCUCCCCUAACCCCCAUGCCCAGGACCUGAGGACAAAGGUCUAGCGAUUGUCCAUCCCCUCCCCCAGUGAGGACAGCCGGGAAAGACCUGCCUUUGUUGUGUACAGAACUCCAUGGCAAUGUUUUGAGGAUUAAAGAGGAGAGUGAUGACUAUCCAAACGUCAGAGAACGCAACUAUGAGACUAGAGACACUGGAAAACUAAAAAAGUAACGGGCCUUUGCUGACUCAGGGAGAUGAUUUCCCAAGAGGGAAGAAAACUGGAACCUGAGAAAUAAGUGAUUUAGUAAUGUGGCUGCUAAAAUACGGAAAAACUAGAAUGAAUGGCUUACACAUUUUUGAAAUGAAGUUAGAAGAGGGUUAUACUGUGAAGAAGAAUGAAAAAGCCAAACAUUUCAUUCAGGUAAGCAUAUCACAUAGGAGAAACUCUAGGUGACUUUGGUUUGGCAGUGAGUUUUUAGAUACAACACCAAAGCACAAUCCAUAAAAGAAAAGAAAGAUAGAUAAGUUGGACUUCAUUAAAAUGAAAAACUUCUGCUCUGCAAAGACACUGUUAAGAGAAUGAAAACACAUGCCACAGACUAUGAGAAAAUAUGUGCAAAACACCUAUCUGAUAAAGGAAGUAUGUCUGAAAUACAAAGAACUCUUAAAACUCAGCAAUAAGAAAAUGAACAACCUGAUUAAAAUAUGGGCAAAAGAGCUGAAUGGAAACCUCCCCAAAGAAUAUAUGUAGAUGGCAAAUGAACAUAUGAAAAGAUUCUCAACACAAUAUGUCACUAGAAAAUUGCAAAUUAAAACAAGAUACCAGUAUACACUUAUUAGAUGAGCUAAAAUCCAAAAUACUAAGAACAGCAAAUGCUGAUGAGGUUGUGGAGCAACAGGAGCUCUCAUUCAUUGCUGGUGGGAAUGCAAAAUGAUGCAGCCACUUGGAAGACAGUCUGGCAGUUUCUUAAAGAUUAAACAAAGGCUUACCAGACACUCCAGCAAUUGCACUCUGUGUAUGUGUGUGUAUUUAUAUAUGUGUGUGUAUAUGUGUGUGUGUAUUUAUAUGUGUGUAUUUGUGUGUGUGUGUGUAUACAGGUAUCCACAGGGGAUUGGUUCCGGAAAGCUCCAUGGAUACCAAAAUCUGAGGAUGCUCAAGUUUCUUACAUAAAAUGGUGUGAGAUUUGCAUAUAAUCUAUGCACAUCCUCCUGUAUACUUUAUUUUUUAUUGUAUGUACUUAUUUUUUGAGACGGGUUCUCAGUUUGUCACCCAGGCUGGAAUGCAGUGGUGUGAUCACAGCUCACUGCAGCCUUAACCUCUGGGACUUAAGCAAUUCUCCCAGCUCAGCCUCCUGAGUAGCUGGGACCACAAGCAUGCACCACUACACGUGGCUAAUGUUAUUUUUUGUAGAAAUGGAAGUCUCACUGUGUUGCCCAGGCUAGGCUUCUGUAUACUUUAAGUCAUUUCUAGAUCACUUAUAAUACCUAAUACAAUAUAUAAAUGUUAUGUAAAUAGAUGUUAUACUGUAUUUUUAAAUUUUGUAUUUUUUUAAUUGUUCUAUUGUUAUUUUUUAUUGUUUAUUGUUUUGUUUAUUGUUGUUUAUUUUGUUUAUUGUGUUGUUUAUUGUUUUAUUGUUGUUUAUUGUUUAUUGUUUUUAUUGUUGUUUGGAAUAUUUUUGAUCCCAGUUGGUUGAAUCCAUGGAUGUGGAACCCAUAGAUAUGGCGGGCCAACUAUAUUUAUUAUUUAGAUCAAGAUAUAUUUCAAUAUAUAAAUUUAAAAAUCUUUUCUGAAAUAAAAGAAGAUUGACUCUUCUUUUCAAGUCAAAGAACAUACCAUGUGCCAGGCAAAAUUGAUUCAAACGUAUCUUCGUAAAACUAUUGGACAAGGGAUCUUCUCUUGCUACCUGAAUAAAUAGUGUGAAAAAUAUGGUUGUUGAAGAGACAAAGUAAUAGUAUCUGUCAAUUCAUUUUGAUAAACUUCAGUUUUGUAAGAGAUUAUAUAUAUUUUGUAUAUAUUUUGCAUUAUUUGUAUAUAUGCAUAUUUUAUAUUAUAUAUUUUAUAUAUGUGUGUGUGUUUAUAUGUAUGUGUGUAUAUAUAUAUUUGACUCUUUAUAUCCAUGGGUUCAUCUAAUUACCUCUGCUUCUAUUUAACAUUGUACUGGGCUGUUUUGUAGUGAUGUUCAGGGAAUACAAUCAGGACAGUGCAGUUCUGCUCUGUAGAGGAGUUUCAUGGGUGGAUGUUGAAGAGCCUCAAGUCACCUUCCCAACCCUCCUACCAAUAUAGCUUCUCCCUGACUGGUUGAGAUGAAGACUUAACCUGAAGAUUGGUUUGAUGUUACUGGUUUUCUGGUGCCCAGGUUAUAUGGUUUGGCUGUGUCCCCACCCAAAUCUCAUCUUGAAUUGUAGUUAUCAUAAUCCCCACAUGUCGUGGGAAGGACCUGGUGGGAAGUAAUUGAAUCAUGGAAGUGGUUUCUCCCAUGCUGUUCUUGUGAUAGUGAGUAAGUUCUCAUGGGAUCUUAUGGUUUUAUAAGGAGCUUCCCCCUUCACUCAGCUCUCAUUCUUCUCCUUCCUGCCACUGUGUGGAGAAGGACAUGUUUGCUUCCCCUUCUACCACGAUUGUCAGUUUCCUGAGGCCUCCCCAGCCGUGCUGAACUGUGAGUCAAUUAAGCCUUUCUCCUUUAUAAAUUACCCAGUCUCAGGUAUGUCUUUAUUAGCAGCAUAAGAACGGACUAAUGCACCAGGGCUCUCUUAGUGUUUGUUCUUCCCCAUCACACCCUUCACAUCUUUCUCUCUCUGUCCUGUCUUUCACACACACACAUACACACACACACACCCUUUAGCUCAUUACUGUAAUACUGUCGCUUCUGUCCUUCCCCAGUGUUCCUUAUUGGACAGAGGAGCUAGGGGAUAUGAGUUCACAGACCAAACUAAGAUAUCUGAGUAACACAACCACUUCAAAAUAAAAAAAUAAAAAAAAUCAUGGCCAGAUGAUGGAUAACAUCAGAAAGAGAUGCGUUAGAACAGAUGAACCAAGAGUUUAGAAUAAGCAUAAUAAAUAUAUUAAAAUAUGUAAGUGAGGAUAUUAGCAACAUGAUAAUAAUGAAAUACAUUGUAUAUGUACAAUUCCAGGUUUCAGGGUUUUACUUUUAGCACAUUAAAUAUGGCAUUCCAUUGUCUUUUGGCCUUCAUUAUUUCUGAUGAGAAGUUAGCUGAUUUUUCUACUCAUGGUUCCCUGUAUAUAGUAUAUGCUGUUUUUCUUGGUCAUUUUCCAGAUUUUCUGUUUUUUAGUAGGUUGA